ACGCUUGUAUCCGGCGACGCGGGCGCCUACAUAUGAGGCGUCGGCUUGCCGACUAUGGACAUAAACGCGCACGUAAUAAGCGGAUCGGACCCGGGGGCGGUACCCGGCGACUCCACCAAAUUCCCUUUAUUGGGGGGAGCGAGGGGUCGAAACAGGAUCGACGAACGUCUAAAGGUGUUUGCUUUGUCUCGGUGAGGUACCACCGAUAUCGGUCCGUUAAGCAUAAUUGCCAAUAACAAUCAUGCUCCGGUCGCUCUCGCUGCUUAAUGCAGCGCGAUAGAUCGAAAUCUUAAGUCCAGUCCUCUAGCCAGGGCUGGCGGGGUUCGCAGGCACCUGGCAACAGAAGCCUGCACC
rnacentral:tmRNA from 1 species